GACGAACGCUGGCGGCGUGCUUAACACAUGCAAGUCGAACGAAGUGGCGAACGGGUGAGUAACGCGUAAUCAACCUGCACUUCAGAGGGGGACAACCGUUGGAAACGACUGCUAAUACCGCAUACUGAAGGAGGGGAUUGCGUCUGCUUAGCAAGUUGGAGGGUGAACGGCCCACCAAGGCGAUGAUGAGUAGCCGGUCUGAGCGGAUGAACGGCCACAUUUGGACUGAUACACGGCCCAGACUCCUACGGGAGGCAGCAGUGGGGAAGCUUCCGCAAUGGACUAAAGUCUGACGGAGCAACGCCGCGUGAGUGAUGACGGCCUUCUGGUUGUAAAGCUCUGUUAAUCGGGACGCGGUACCGGAAUAGAAAGCCACGGCUAACUACGUGCCAGCAGCCGCGGUAAUUC
rnacentral:rRNA from 1 species